rnacentral:tRNA from 1 species
AAAAGUUUAGUUAAGUAAUAACAUUAAUUUGUCAAAUUAAAAUCAUCAGAAAUGUUAUCUUUUA